AUUGAACGCUGGCGGCAGGCCUAACACAUGCAAGUCGAGCGAGCGGCGGACGGGUGAGUAAUGUAUGGGGACUGCCCGAUCGAGGGGGAUAACGACGGGAAACGGUGGCUAAUACCGCAUACUAUCGGAUGACCCAUAUGGGAUUAGCUAGUAGGUGGGGUAAAGGCGCACCUAGGCGACGAUCGAUAGCUGGUCUGAGAGGGUGAUCGGCCACACUGGGACUGAGACACGGCCCAGACUCCUACGGAGGCAGCAGUGGGGAAUUUUGGGCAAUGGGCGCAAGCCUGAUGCAGCCAUGCCGCGUGUAUGAAGAAGGUCUUAGGGUUGUAAAGUACUUUUAGCGGGGAGGCGGUACCCGCCCAGGAAGCACCGGCUAACUCCGUGCCAGCAGCCGCGGUAAUUC
rnacentral:rRNA from 1 species